rnacentral:rRNA from 1 species
AAAAAAAUCGUAACAAGGUCUCCGUUGGUGAACCAGCGGAGGGAUCAUUACCGAGUUAUCCAACUCCCAACCCCUGUGAAUUAUACCUUUAAUUGUUGCUUCGGCGGGACUUCGCGCCCGCCGGGGACCCAAACCUUCUGAAUUUUUUAAUAAGUAUCUUCUGAGUGGUUAAAAAAAAAUGAAUCAAAACUUUCAACAACGGAUCUCUUGGUUCUGGCAUCGAUGAAGAACGCAGCGAAAUGCGAUAAGUAAUGUGAAUUGCAGAAUUCAGUGAAUCAUCGAAUCUUUGAACGCACAUUGCGCCCGUCAGUAUUCUGGCGGGCAUGCCUGUUCGAGCGUCAUUACGCCCCUCAAGUCCCCUGUGGACUUGGUGUUGGGGAUCGGCGAGGCUGGUUUUCCAGCACAGCCGUCCCUUAAAUUAAUUGGCGGUCUCGCCGUGGCCCUCCUCUGCGCAGUAGUAAAGCACUCGCAACAGGAGCCCGGCGCGGUCCACUGCCGUAAAACCCCCCAACUUUUUAUAGUUGACCUCGAAUCAGGUAGGACUACCCGCUGAACUUAAGCAUAUCAAUAAU